rnacentral:lncRNA from 1 species
UUUUUGCAGCUACUCAAGGUCUAUUUGACCGGCUACUUCCUUGGCAACAGGAGCCAUCUCCUCUAGAUAUUGCUGGAACUGCUCGUCAGAACAAUUCUUGGUGAUGCCUUCUGCCACAGGAGCCAAGUUGACUUGCGGGUAGAAAGACCUCACCAUCGCCAGCAACUGCUCGGAGACUGACUCUGCCAUCUUAUGGACAUAGCCGGUGAUCUUGCUAGGUACUUCCUUGAGUAUUUCCGCCAAGGGGCGGGGCUCUACACCUUCUUCGAGGGGCUCCACCAUGUCAGUGAUGGGCUAAGCGGCUUCAAAUAGCUCCUUUAGAGCAAGUUUGGUCGCCUCCAACUUAGCCUCCUGCGCUUGGAGUUUCAUCAUCAGAUCUACCAGUUCGACUUCUCCAUCAACACGCAGCUUCUUCUCCUUCUCGAGCUUGUGCUCCAGGGUCUCGUACUUGGAGGUCAGCUUAUCAUAUUCAUCAGUGACUUGAUAGUACGAGUUCUGCCAGUCCAUGCCACGACUCUGGAGAUUUUUAUUCUCCUUGGUGAGCUCUACAAGAACAAAGGCAAAGAACAAGUCAUUACCGCCAAAGGCAAACAAGUACUCAAGACACAACGGAGGAUAACAGCCUACCUUCAUUUCAGUUCCUCAGGCCUCUGUUAAGUUUCCGGAGUCGGUCCUUUUUUUCAUCAGCUUUCUACACAAGGUUUUGGUACUCGACGGCCUGGGGCCGUCAUACUUCAUCAGUAGCUGGGAGGAAUAUUGCCACUCCUCAGCUAGUUUCUGCUCCAGUGCCUCAGCCCGCAGAAUGGUGUCCCCAUAACCUUGGAUAUAUUUCAA